AUUGAACGCUGGCGGCAGGCCUAACACAUGCAAGUCGAACGGUAACAGGAAACAGCUUGCUGUUUCGCUGACGAGUGGCGGACGGGUGAGUAAUGUCUGGGAAACUGCCUGAUGGAGGGGGAUAACUACUGGAAACGGUAGCUAAUACCGCAUAACGUCGCAAGACCAAAGAGGGGGACCUUCGGGCCUCUUGCCAUCGGAUGUGCCCAGAUGGGAUUAGCUAGUAGGUGGGGUAACGGCUCACCUAGGCGACGAUCCCUAGCUGGUCUGAGAGGAUGACCAGCCACACUGGAACUGAGACACGGUCCAGACUCCUACGGGAGGCAGCAGUGGGGAUUAUUGCACAAUGGGCGCAAGCCUGAUGCAGCCAUGCCGCGUGUAUGAAGAAGGCCUUCGGGUUGUAAAGUACUUUCAGCGGGGAGGAAGGGAGUAAAGUUAAUACCUUUACUCAUUGACGUUACCCGCAGAAGAAGCACCGGCUAACUCCGUG
rnacentral:rRNA from 1 species